GCACUGCUGAUGAGAUCCAACUAGGUCGAAACAGCUGUCCGGUGC
rfam:Echinostoma caproni strain Egypt genome assembly, scaffold: ECPE_scaffold0019716